rnacentral:rRNA from 1 species
AUUGAACGCUGGCGGCAUGCCUUACACAUGCAAGUCGAACGGCAGCACGGGAGCAAUCCUGGUGGCGAGUGGCGAACGGGCGAGUAAUAUAUCGGAACGUGCCCAGUCGUGGGGGAUAACGUAGCGAAAGCUACGCUAAUACCGCAUACGAUCUAUGGAUGAAAGCGGGGGAUCGCAAGACCUCGCGCGCUUGGAGCGCCCGAUAUCAGAUUAGGUAGUUGGUGGGGUAAAGGCUCACCAAGCCGACGAUCUGUAGCUGGUCUGAGAGGGCGACCAGCCACACUGGGACUGAGACACGGCCCAGACUCGUACGGGAGGCAGCAGUGGGGAAUUUUGGACAAUGGGCGCAAGCCUGAUCCAGGAAUGCCGCGUGCAGGAUGAAGGCCAUCGGGUUGUAAACUGCUUUUGUACGGAGCGAAAAGGCUUCCACUAAUACUGGGGGCUCAUGACGGUACCGUAAGAAUAAGCACCGGCUAACUACGUGCCAGCCGCCGCGGUAACAC